CUUCUAUUUUCUUCUACUAAUUUUACACCAGGAAAUGAUUCAAAAAACAUUGGUUGCAUUCAUGCGCCAAGAAUUUGUAGGUGUUGGAUAUGUAGAAAAAUAAUCAAUAAUCAAUUCCCAGGGAUAUUCGUGGUCAGCAGGCGGCAGUGAUUGCAUUCUGGAAAAGGGGGUCACAAGGAAGCCGUGAGAUAUGGUGAAGAUUGUGGAGCUCUGCAAGGCAGAGGUAGAGGUAGGUAGGUGAUAUUUGUGCUCCCCUGGCUCUGCUUUUGGUGGGUCGUAUAUGGUAAUUUGAUGAAAUUCAAUUAAAGGUAACAUAUUCCUUUAUUUAUUUAUUAUAGAGGAUGAAAAUUUCCUUGUAGUGAGGAGUUUUAAUUUACUUUAUUCGUCUCAAAUAUGACACGUUCUUCAUUUGAUGAGUGUAUACUGUCAUUAUAUCAAGUAUUAACUGACCUCGCAAGCGCUGAACACUGUUCUUACGGUGUCUGAUUCACUCAAUCUUUUCCUCUGGAUUUUCAGUUCGAGGUGUAAAAUUGAGGAUGAUGAAGAUUUUAUUGAGUACUUUUGUUGGAGAGAGGAGGAAAAAUAAUUUUGAAAUUAAUAGUUUGAUCCCUUAUUUCUUUUCAUAUUUAUAUUAUAUUUUUAACCUAAUAUUUACCUAUUUUAUUACACUUCAUUGUUUUUGUUUUAUUAGGUUAUUAUUUUGUAAUUUAUUUCUCAUUGCAAAUACUGGUGAGUUUAAUUUUCUUUCUGCUGAUUUUUUGGCGGUGUUUUUCUCUAUCGUGGUUGUCCUUGAAAUGUUUAAAUUGACACCAUGUAUGAUGUCUUGCUUCAUAUUAGUUUAGCUAUUGAGCAUGUUAAACGUCUUUUUAUAUUUCUGCAAAAUUAUUGUGAAUAGUACGACAGGUGACUAAAAUGGAUGGUUGUCUGGAAAGUGAAGAUUAAUUAACGGUUUUAAAAACAAGAAUUAAAAGUUAUUUGAUUAUAUUAUUUUGGCGGCUAA